AGAGUUUGAUCCUGGCUCAGGACUAACGCUGGCGGCGUGCCUAACACAUGCAAGUCGAACGAAGUAGCAAUACUUAGUGGCAGACGGGUGAGUAACACGUAGUCAACCUGCCUCUCAAUGGGGGAUAACUAGCCGAAAGGUUAGCUAAUACCGCAUACGAUCGCCGAGUGGCAUCACACGGCGAUGAAAGAAGCAAUUCGUUGAGAGAGGGGACUGCGUCCCAUUAGUUAGUUGGUGGGGUAACGGCCUACCAAGACUCCGAUGGGUAGCCGGCUUGAGAGAGCGACCAGCCACACUGGAACUGAGACACGGUCCAGACUCCUACGGGAGGCAGCAGUGAGGAAUUUUCCGCAAUGGGGGAAACCCUGACGGAGCGACGCCGCGUGUGGGAAGAAGGCCUUCGGGUCGUAAACCACUGUCGAGGGGGACGAUAUUGACGGUACCCCUGGAGGAAGCCCCGGCUAACUACGUGCCAGCAGCCGCGGUAAGACGUAGGGGGCAAGCGUUGUCCGGAAUUAUUGGGCGUAAAGCGCUCGUAGGUGGAUCGGUAAGUCUGUGAGGAAAGGCCUGGGCUCAACUCAGGAAACCGUGUGGAUACUACCGAUCUUGAGGCAAUCAGAGGAUGAUGGAAUUCCCGGUGUAGCGGUGAAAUGCGUAGAUAUCGGGAGGAACACCAGUGGCGAAGGCGAUCAUCUGGGGUUGUUCUGACACUGAGGAGCGAAAGCUAGGGGAGCAAACGGGAUUAGAUACCCCGGUAGUCCUAGCCGUAAACGAUGGACACUAGGUGUAGGUGGUAUCGACUCCAUCUGUGCCGCAGUUAACACAAUAAGUGUCCCGCCUGGGGAGUACGGCCGCAAGGUUAAAACUCAAAGGAAUUGACG
rnacentral:rRNA from 1 species